rnacentral:rRNA from 1 species
UACGUAGGUGGCAAGCGUUGUCCGGAUUUACUGGGCGUAAAGGGUGCGCAGGCGGUCCUGCAAGUCAGGCGUGAAAUCCCCGGGCUUAACCUGGGAAUGGCACUUGAAACUACGGGACUGGAGUAUGGCAGAGGGAGGUGGAAUUCCACGUGUAGCGGUGAAAUGCGUAGAGAUGUGGAGGAACACCGAUGGCGAAGGCAGCCUUCUGGGCCAAUACUGACGCUCAUGCACGAAAGCGUGGGGAGCAAACAGG